rnacentral:tRNA from 1 species
GCAUUGGUGGUUUAGUACUAGAAUUCUCACCUUUCAUGCAAGAGACUUAGGUUCAAUUUCCAGCCAAUGCA